rnacentral:rRNA from 1 species
UACGUAGGGGGCAAGCGUUGUCCGGAAUUAUUGGGCGUAAAGCGCGCGCAGGCGGUCGCUUAAGUCUGGUGUUUAAGCCCAGGGCUCAACCCUGGUACGCACUGGAAACUGGGCGACUUGAGUGCAGGAGAGGUGAGUGGAAUUCCACGUGUAGCGGUGAAAUGCGUAGAGAUGUGGAGGAACACCAGUGGCGAAGGCGACUCUCUGGCCUGUAACUGACGCUGAGGCGCGAAAGCGUGGGGAGC